rnacentral:rRNA from 1 species
AGAGUUUGAUCCUGGCUCAGGAUGAACGCUGGCGGUCUGCUUAACACAUGCAAGUCGAACGCAGUACUUCGGUACUGAGUGGCGGACGGGUGAGUAACGCGUGAGAAUCUGCCUAGAGGUCGGGGACAACCAUUGGAAACGAUGGCUAAUACCGGAUAUGCCUUACGGGGUGAAAGAUUAAUCGCCUUUAGAAGAGCUCGCGUCUGGUUAGCUAGUUGGUGAGGUAAAAGCUCACCAAGGCAGCGAUCAGUAGCUGGUCUGAGAGGAUGACCAGCCACACUGGGACUGAGACACGGCCCAGACUCCUACGGGAGGCAGCAGUGGGGAAUUUUCCGCAAUGGGCGAAAGCCUGACGGAGCAAGACCGCGUGAGGGAGGAAGGCUCUUGGGUUGUAAACCUCUUUUGUCAGGGAAGAACACAAUGACGGUACCUGACGAAUCAGCAUCGGCUAACUCCGUGCCAGCAGCCGCGGUAAUACGGAGGAUGCAAGCGUUAUCCGGAAUUAUUGGGCGUAAAGCGUCCGCAGGUGGCUUAUCAAGUCUGCGGUCAAAGACCGGGGCUUAACCCUGGAAAGGCCGUGGAAACUGAUAAAGCUAGAGUACCGUAGGGGUAGAGGGAAUUCCCGGUGUAGCGGUGAAAUGCGUAGAGAUCGGGAAGAACAUCGGUGCGAAAGCGCUCUACUGGACGGUGACUGACACUCAGGGACGAAAGCUAGGGGAGCGAAUGGGAUUAGAUACCCUAGUAGUCC